rnacentral:tRNA from 1 species
GGAGAGGUGGCCGAGCGGCUGAAGGCGACACACUGCUAACGUGUUAUACCAGAAAUGGUAUCGAGGGUUCGAAUCCCUCUCUCUCCGCCA